rnacentral:misc_RNA from 1 species
UCCUUCUUAUCGAAGGCAGUUUUCGAAGAGUGCAUCCCUUGCGGGAUUAGCAACAUCGAAUGGGGGUUGCGCUCGUUGCGGGACUUAACCCAACAUCUCACGACACGAGCUGACGACAACCAUGCAGCACCUCUGCUCGCUCCCUUGCGGGUCAGCCUCUGUUUCCAAAGGCUUACCACGAGUAGUUCAAGCCCAGGUAAGGUUCUUCGCGUUGCGUCGAAUUAAACCACAUGCUCCACCGCUUGUGCGGGCCCCCGUCAAUUCCUUUGAGUUUCAACCUUGCGGCCGUACUCCCCAGGCGGCUCAUUUAAUGCGUUAGCUUCGGCGCGGGAGGGGUCGAUACCUUCCACACCUAAUGAGCAUCGUUUAGGGCUAGGACUAC